rnacentral:tRNA from 1 species
GGUAUUAUAUUUUAAAAAGAAAAUUUAAUUUGCAAUUAAAAAGUAUGAAAUUAAUCUUUAUUACCA